rnacentral:rRNA from 1 species
CGGGGGGGGCAAGCGUUGUUCGGAAUUACUGGGCGUAAAGGGCUCGUAGGCGGCCAACUAAGUCCGACGUGAAAUCCCCAGGCUCAACCUGGGAACUGCGUCGGAUACUGGAUGGCUUGAAUUCGGGAGAGGGAUGCAGAAUUCCAGGUGUAGCGGUGAAAUGCGUAGAUAUCUGGAGGAAUACCGGUGGCGAAGGCGGCAUCCUGGACCGACAUUGACGCUGAUGAGCGAAAGCUAGGGGAGCAAACGGGAUUAGAUACCCCGGUAGUCCUAGCUCUAAACGAUGAAUGCUUGGUGUGACGGGUAUCGAUCCCUGUCGUGCCGAAGCUAACGCAUUAAGCAUUCCGCCUGGGGGAGUACGGUCGCAAGGCUG